rnacentral:lncRNA from 1 species
CAAAGCCCACCCCUCCCUGGAUCACAUUUCCCAACGGCACAGAGCAAAUAUCAUCACCUAAAGCCAACGGGCUCACGGGGGAGCAGCCCUAACGCCCUGCCUUCAGGUGGUGCUGAGCAUCCCGUGGCCCCAGCUCCAUCCUUGGUGCACCCAUCCUCAAAGUGCCGUGGGUCGGUCUUACCCCGCACUGGGGCUAUUGGUUCCCAGCAGGGGCUGAGGGUGCAGCGUUGCCCCCAUCCAACGAAGCAGAAAGCGAAGCGAUAGCGAAGGGCCGGAUCCUGCUGCGGGAGGAGCGGCGCAGUCAGGCUGUCACUGCCACAUGUCACCCCCAUCCCCGUUCUCGUGGAACUUGUGCAGGUGGUCGGCGAACUUCUUGGCGCAGAACGCAGCGCAGUCCCUGCCCACGCUUUCGCUCCAGGCGGUUUUGUAGAGAACCAGGAAGACAAGGCAGUGCAAGAGCAGUGUGUAGAAAAACGCGACGGUGCGAGCAGUCUUGUUGGAUAGGAUGAGCCGCCCCAUGCUCAGCGUGGCUUUGUCCCAGGGACUCAGGCUCAGGUACUUGCGCUGGCGCUCCUUCCUGCUGAAGGAGGAGAAGGGGUCCAGGCGCUCUUCGUACUGCGAGGAGUAACGCAGCUCUGUGUCAUCCCUGCUGCUGCCCCGGCCGGGGUAGCUCUGCAGGAACUUGAUCUUCUCGUAGAGCUUGAUGUUGUCAGCCCGCAGGUUGUCCAGCUCGCUCUGCAGCGCGUGCACCGUGUGCUGCAUCAUGCGGUUCUCCCCCUCCAGCUCCUGGUUCCUGGCUCGGAAGCGUUCCCUCUGGCUGGAGAUGAUGGAAAGCAGUGAGUCCACCUGCCCCUCAGGGAACGGGGCGCUGGGGGAUGGUGGGUGACCAUAGAACAGCGCGGUGGCCUCCUUGAUGGGCUCCGGUAUCUUCUCCAGGCUGGGGAUGGCUGCGCCCUCUGCAUCUGGACGAUGCACGGCGGAGAGGGCCUGGAUGGUGCUGAGGUCGUGCUCCAGUUUGGCCACCAACUCCUUCUGCCCCGCCAGCCCCGACACGGCCUCCGUCAGCUGGAUCUGCAGCUCCGCACAGCGCACACUCAGGUCACUGUUUGUGAUUCGCAGCGUGGCGUUCUCGGACUGCAGCGAGCGGUUCUUCUCCAGCAGCAGCACCUCCAGCGGUUUCGAUGCAUCCUGCGCACCAGAGCUUUCAGGUGGUGCAAACUCCAUGGAUUUCAAUAUAUUUAAUUCUUUCUUAACCUCUUCAUAAUCAGCCUGUCCUUUCAGUUUUUCUUCCAGUUGUUUAAGCGUGCUGUUCUUGGCGGUCAGCUGCUGCUCCAGCUGGGAGAUCUGGCUGCUGGAGUUCUCCCGCAGCUUGGUGAGGCUGCCCUGUAGUCUCUGGACAUCUUCUACGAGCUGGGCAAUCUCCCUCUCCUUCGCAGCCAGUUCUACUUCCAGGCUGGAUCGUGUCAGCACCUCGAUGGCCUGCUCCACAUCAGGUGCCUUCUGGAUCUGGGUAGCGAGUUGGAGAGAUUUGUUAGCUGACGAGAGCUGCUCCCUUAAGGUCUCUGCCUCUCUCUGAGCCACCUCUGCCCUCUGAUUUGCUCUUUCAAGGUCUGUCAUGAUCAUCUCGAUUUCAUCAGCCUUUGCAGUAGUUUCUUCAUCGUAUUUUGUUUUCAGAUCAAAUAGUUCUGUUCUGGUUUUUUCCAAGGCUGUUUGCAAAGCUUGAACUUUGUGUUCGGCUUCCUCCAGCUUCGAGGCUGUUGACAUCUGUGUCUCCUGCAAUUUUCUCUCCUUCUCCGCAAAAUCAUUUUGUAGUUUUUGUUCUUUCUCCAGAGCUAUGUUCUCAGCUUGGUUCUUCAGGGUCUGUUCAUAUUCUCGGAUUUUCUCUUUAAGUGCUUUUAUUGUAACCUCCUGAUUUUUCACCUCGGCAAAUUCUUUGUUGUAUUCCUCUAGAGUUUCCCUAAGUUUCUGGUUCUCUGUUUCAAUAUCGUGCAUACGUUGAACCUUCAGCUGAAGCUGCUGUCCUAAAUCCAAAGCUGGAACUGGAUCUGGGACAUCAAUUAAUCUCUUAUAAACAUUCAAGAAGGCUGCCUCUGCUUCUUUGCUUCUUUUACCCAACGCGUCAAUCUCUCCCUGGAAACUCUUCAGUAGUGGAGCUACCUGUUUGCGCAGGUCCUCUGGAGUGUUCUUCUUGAACUCCCGACUUUGCUCGAUAAGUUUCUUCCUGGACUGCUCGCUUUCAUCUUGCCGGUUGGCCAAUAUUGUUGCUGUGGCAUCGAGUUCUCUCUGCAGCUGCUGUAAAUCAAAGCGCUUCCAAUAUUGAAACAUCGAUCCCACAUUGGCCGCCAUCUUGAGACAUAUUGAGACAGAGUGAGCG